CGAGCAAGCUUAAACCGUUAGGUGUAGGCGAAGCGAAAGCGAGUCUGAAUAGGGCGACUUAGUUCGAUGAAUAAGACCCGAAACCAGGUGAUCUAGCCAUGAGCAGGCUGAAGGUGCAGUAACAUGCACUGAAGGGCCGAACCCACUAAUGUUGAAAAAUUAGGGGAUGACUUGUGGCUAGGGGUGAAAGGCCAAUCAAACUCGGAGAUAGCUGGUUCUCCGCGAAAUCUAUUUAGGUAGAGCGUCACGUGAAUACCCUCGGGGGUAGAGCACUGGAUGGGCUAGGGGGCCGCGAGGCUUACCAAACCUAACCAAACUCCGAAUACCGUAGAGUAGAGCACGGCAGACAGACAUCGGGUGCUAAGGUCCGGUGUCGAAAGGGAAACAGCCCAGACCGCCAUCUAAGGUCCCUAAGUUAUGGCUAAGUGGGAAAGGAUGUAGGAAGGCCAAGACAACCAGGAGGUUGGCUUAGA
rnacentral:rRNA from 1 species